rnacentral:misc_RNA from 1 species
GUGAAUCAUCGAAUUUUUGAACGCAAAUUGCACUCCCUUCGGAGAGUAUGCCUGUUUGAGUGUCAGCCUAAAAAAAAUCGACAUAGUCGCUGUUUCGCGGUAACAUUCGUCGGAAAUUGAAUCAUCUUAAACCUUUGUGUUUUAAGCGGCGUAAAAUUUUCUUCACGAUUCCACGAAAGUUUCUAAGAUUUACUUCUUACACGUUUAACUUAAUCGCUCUU